rnacentral:rRNA from 1 species
GCCGCCUCUGCUUAAUUUAUUUAAGCACGCGGUGCUGCGACACUAUCAAAUUGCGGGAAGUCCCUUAGAGCCGGCAGUACCGCUCCCUCGUCGAAAUGAUCGGGGCAGCACCAGGUUAAUGACCUCGGGUAUGGUAACAAUCUCGCCGGAUUGGGUUACCUGCAGCCAAGUCCUCCGCGGAGGGGUGGUCGUCCACGGGCGGCCGUCUUUCGCGGUCGGAUGCAGUUCACAGGCCAAAUGGUAGUGGGUGGUCCCCUUUUGUAAGGGCGAUUGCUUAAGAUAUGGUCGGGCCCCCCAGGGAAAUCCUGGGGGGUGAGUUCACAAAAGAAUAAGUAACAAGAACAAACAAAAACGUUCCGUAGGUGAACCUGCGGAAGGAUCAUUA